UUUGCCUACGGGACGCAGCAGUGGGGGAUAUUGCACAAUGGGGGAAACCCUGAUGCAGCGACGCCGCGUGGGUGAAGAAGCGCCUCGGCACGUAAAGCCCUGUCAGCAGGGAAGAAAAUGACGGUACCUGAAGAAGAAGCCCCGGCUAACUACGUGCCAGCAGCCGCGGUAAUACGUAGGGGGCAAGCGUUAUCCGGAUUUAUUGGGUUUAAAGGGUGCGCAGGCGGCACGGCAAGCCGGCGGUCAAAUCGCGGGGCUCAACCCCGCCCAGCCGUCGGAACUGCCGGGCU
rnacentral:rRNA from 1 species